AUGGACGUUGACGACGACAUCACUUGGAAAUUUGAGGCAAAUGGAGAAUACUCGGCAGGCUAUGCUUAUAGGGCACAAUUCUUGGGCUCCACCUCCACAAUCAUGAACAAGACCGUCUGGAAGGUUUGAGCGCCUCCCAAGGUCAAGUUCUUCUCAUGGUUGGACAUCCAAAACAGGAUAUGGACUGCGGAUAGGCUGCAGAAGAGGGGUUGGGAGAAUUGUGGCCUAUGUGCCCUUUGCAGGAGGGCCAACGAGACAUCCGGUCACCUCUUCUUUAAAUGCCGGUUUACCCUGCGUAUUUGGAGAAUGGUCAAAGCAUGGCUUGGACUUGGGGCGCUGGAGAUGAAUAGGUGGGGGACGGAACGCAACAUCAAGUGUUGGUGGACAAGCAUGUCCAAACCAAAUACAACAAACAGGAAGGCCAUGGCCUCACUCACCAUGCUUGUAUGUUGGGUCAUCUGGAAUGAGAGAACUAGAGUCUUUCAGAAGAAAUCGACGCCGCCACACUACAUUCUAAAACUCAUCCAGGAGGAGGCCAGGAGGAGGCCAGGACGUGGGUCACCGCGGGGGCUAGACAUCUGA
rnacentral:rRNA from 1 species